rnacentral:rRNA from 1 species
AUGCCUUGGCGAUUACAGGCGAUGAAGGACGUUGUAGCCUGCGAAAAAGCUGCGGGGAGCUGGCAAACAAGCUUUGAUCCGCAGAUGUCCGAAUGGGGAAACCCACUCCGCAAGGAGUAUCCCUGGCUGAAUACAUAGGCCAGAGGAAGCGAACCCGGCGAACUGAAACAUCUAAGUAGCCGGAGGAACAGAAAUCAACCGAGAUUCCCUAAGUAGUGGCGAGCGAACAGGGAUCAGCCUGCAAGAGAUAACUAGUGUAUUAGUGGAACGCUCUGGAAAGUGCGGCCGUAGUGGGGUGAUAGCCCCGUACGCGAAAAUACAUUAGCGAGACUAAGUUUGCGACAAGUAGGGCGGGACACGUGAAAUCCUGUCUGAAGAUGGGGGGACCAGUCCUCCAGGACUAAAUACUCGUAAUCGACCGAUAGU